UCCUUUGGAACAGUGUGAGUGUGCAUGCUCAUGCGUAGGGGGGGGGACUGUUUUCUUUUCUGGAAAACCAAAUGGCAAAUGUGGUCUUACUUCUUGUCAUCCUUAGUUUUCUAAUUCUGUAGUUGUCAGCUACAUGGGGAAUUGGCAUGCUGUGCCCUCCAGAACUAUGCCUUAAGAGCCCUUACUGUUUCCAGUAGGUUGAGUUCCCGUGACACACAGAGAGGACAUAGUCCUCCUUUGAUGGGCUCCCUCCUUCCCCACCCCACCCCCUUUUCAAGCUGUAUAGGACUAGCUCUCAAUAUGAAGUCCUUUUGCACAUCAGGAGUUCUGAUCUUUGAGCCUUGGGACAUGAAGAAGGAUGACAGAUGGCAGAUAAGCUCAACUCGACGCAUCAGACACUACGUACGUAUCCGUGUUGUGUCUGGUUUGUGGUAAUAAUAUUCCUUCAAGCAACAUGUACUGAAUGAGCCAGGAAGACACUAUUGUGCUCGGCUAGAAUUGUCUUCAUCCUGCACACAAGGAAGCCAUGGCCUCGCUAGAGGAAUUAGAUCCCUGGGGUCUAGGGGGCCUGUGCUUGCUUUGGCCUCUUCCCUUAGCUCCCUUUUCUCUGCAUUCUGGUGCCACGAUGGGAUCUGCUCUACUCUGCCACAUCUUUCUAUAGAUUAACACCUUGGAAACCAGGAGCCCCAGGGAAAUCAACCCUUCAGUUGCUUCUGUCAGGAACUCGGGCGCAGCGACACAAAGUCAGUUAUGCAUCCACAGAAAGAAAAGGGAGAAAUGCAGAACAGCAAGCUGGGGCUUGUGAAGAGUUAGCCCAAGGAGGGGGGCUGGAGCCACGCCCGCCCUGAACCUGACUUUUCAAAGAACGGUUUCGCCAACCUCUGCUAUAGCAGUGGCCCCAGGCCACCUAAGUAUGAUUGUUUGGUGUGGGGGUGAAAACAGAACUUCUUCACAGGGCUGCCACAUCUUGGAGAUGUCCAUCCUAGACUUUUCUCAUCUGCUGAAUGAGGAGAAUGGCCCUAGACUUCCAACAUGGCGCUGAGAAUCCCGGAGACUGUCUCCAUAAAGUCCUAAAAUGUUCAUAGUCACAUAAUAAGGAUUUGGGUGGUUAAUGUCUUGAAGAUCUUUGUCAUGUGACCAUAGCCACGUAGUGAGCAUUCGCAUGGUUUACAGCUGGCUUGGCCUACUAGCACCUGAUCUUGACUUUUCCUAAUAUAACUACAGUGUCGCUGGACAAAGUCUGGGGUCAACUUUCCCCUAAUGCGUACACUUGAACGACAUGGGCCACACAGAAAAGCGGCACACUCACCUGGGGCUGGUGUCUUUCUGUGCGGGCCCAUAGCCUCACACCGUCUCUGACGAGCAUUUGCGCAUCCUCCACAACUAUCCAGGUGUCAAGCUGAGUCGAAGCCUUGUACCCACGUUCACCCACUUGCAGUAAUUAGAUCCGUUAGAGAAAAGUGUGGGUUGAUAUGAAAAGCAAAGUCCUACUUGUUGCUGUCAUCCAGGGGCUCACAUGACCCUGAUAUCAUCAUCACCCUCUGCCAGCAUGGCCUGGAUCAGCUUACCCCUCCUUUCUAACUACUCAGCAUUCAUUAUCCACAACGUUGUCAGAUUCACUAGAUGAAGAAAACCAUGUGUGGGGAAGAGAAGCCGAGCUGGGAUGGAGACAGCGUGGAGAACAAGUGUGGGGCUGUCCAAGCUUCACUGCCGGCACCUCCUACGCGUGACUCCGGUUUCUCACUUCGCCUCUUUGAACUUCGUCUUCUUUUAUUACACCAUGAAGGAGUUGGUCUGGGUUAUGCGUGAGGCUCCUUUCAAGACAAUUAUUCUCUACAAACAUGACAGAAGUAAAAUUUAAAGCCAGAAGUAGACUGUGUCUUCUGUAUUCUAAAUAUAUUGAAGGUUUUUUUUUUUUUUUUUUUAAUAAAGGUUUUA